AACGAACGCUGGCGGCAUGCCUAACACAUGCAAGUCGAACGAAACCUUCGGGUCUAGUGGCGCACGGGUGCGUAACGCGUGGGAACCUGCCUUUAGGUUCGGAAUAACUCCCCGAAAGGGGUGCUAAUACCGGAUGAUGUCUUCGGACCAAAGAUUUAUCGCCUUUGGAUGGGCCCGCGUUGGAUUAGCUAGUUGGUAGGGUAAAAGCCUACCAAGGCGACGAUCCAUAGCUGGUCUGAGAGGAUGAUCAGCCACACUGGGACUGAGACACGGCCCAGACUCCUACGGGAGGCAGCAGUGGGGAAUAUUGCACAAUGGGCGAAAGCCUGACGCAGCAAUGCCGCGUGAGUGAUGAAGGUCUUAGGGUUGUAAAGCUCUUUUACCCGGGAUGAUAAUGACGGUACCGGGAGAAGAAGCCCCGGCUAACUUCGUG
rnacentral:rRNA from 1 species